UUUUAUGAUGAUUAACACUGUCAGUUCUGCUACUGAAUGCAAGUGAGGACAAAAAUUUUCUGAUGAAA